GCCGACGUUAUAUUUUUACUUUAGCUUUUGAAAAAUAUGCACUGAGGAUCUUGUAUAGUUUCUUUAUUAUUAUUAUUAUUAAUUACAACUUUCCUACAUAUUUGCCAAAUUUUGAGUUUUCAAUUCUUGCUUCCAUCGUGGCUUCUUUCGAGGUAUUACUUUGAAGAGCAGGUUCAGCUUUUGAUAUAUUUUGCAAAAAUUUUAAAUUUU
rnacentral:lncRNA from 1 species